UAACCUUGGCACGUUCAUUAGAAUAAUGACUGUUGAGAAAGAAUCGUUCAUCAUUCAUGAAUCUUUUCAAUGAAUCGAUUGAUCCAGUUCAGUUCACACAAACGGUCUGAAUGAUCCGUUCAAGAUUCAAACCUCAACGGUUAACAGCUCUCUGAGGAUCACCAGUGAAUAACGACUUUGAUUUCUGUCUGUUUGUCACGUAAAGCUAUCAUAUGCUUCAUAAAACUUUAAUAUAGCGGACGAAUCGUAUUCAUAUCGAAUCACUUUUAUGAUAGAUAUUUAUUAUGUUUUUCGUCAUUGUGGAGCGUGACCGCGACCAGUCAUCAUUCACGUCCAUUACAUUAAAAACAACCAAGAUAUUCUUCGGAAAUUCCUUGUUUUCCACAGAAGAAAGUCAUACGGAUUUCGACAUGAGGAUAAACGAAGGUCUUACGGGUGUGGAACGACAUGAGGACUGUCUUCUGCAUCUGAUGUUGGACUUUGAGUUGGACCAGGUCCAUAUCAAUUUGCCAUGUGCUUUCGAAAAUGUCCACAGCUCAGGAACAGAAAAAGACAAAUGCCCUGACAAACCAUGGCAGUCUUUAAUGAUCUCUGGCCGUG